rnacentral:rRNA from 1 species
AUACGGAGGGUGCAAGCGUUACUCGGAAUCACUGGGUGUAAAGCGCGCGCAGGCGGCUAUUUAAGUUGGAUGUGAAAGCCUACGGCUCAACCGUAGAACUGCAUCCAAAACUAUUUAGCUAGAGUGUGGGAGAGGAAGAUGGAAUUAGUUGUGUAGGGGUAAAAUCCGUAGAGAUAACUAGGAAUACCAAAAGCGAAGGCAAUCUUCUGGAACACUACUGACGCUGAGGCGCGAAAGCGUGGGGAGCAAACGGGAUUAGAUACCCUAGUAGUCC